UGUGUAGGUGGCGCCGUAAGUCGGGUGUGAAAUCUCGGAGCUUAACUUCGAAACUGCACUCGAUACUGCGGUGCUUGAGGACUGGAGAGGAGACUGGAAUUUACGGUGUAGCAGUGAAAUGCGUAGAUAUCGUAAGGAAGACCAGUGGCGAAGGCGGGUCUCUGGACAGUUCCUGACACUGAGACACGAAGGCCAGGGAGCAAACG
rnacentral:rRNA from 1 species